rnacentral:rRNA from 1 species
UACGUAGGGUGCAAGCGUUAAUCGGAAUUACUGGACGUAAAGCGUACGCAGGCGGCUAUGUAAGACAGGUGUGAAAUCCCCGGGCCUAACCUGGGAACUGCAUUUGUGACUGCAUAGCUAGAGUCCGUCAGAGGAGGGUGGAAUUCCUGGUGUAGCGGUGAAAUGCGUAGAGAUCAGGAGGAACACCUGUGGCGAAGGCGGCCCCCUGGUUGGAUACUGACGCUGAUACGCGAAAGCGUGGGGAGCAAACAGG